AAGCGAGCCUGCGAAGGCAAGCGGAUCUCUUAAAGCUGUUCUCAGUUCGGAUUGUAGGCUGCAACUCGCCUACAUGAAGUCGGAAUCGCUAGUAAUCGCGGAUCAGCAUGCCGCGGUGAAUACGUUCCCGGGCCUUGUACACACCGCCCGUCACACCAUGGGAGUCGGUAACACCCAAAGUUGGUAGUCUAACCGCAAGGAGGACGCCGCCUAAGGUGGGAUUGAUGACUGGGGUGAAGUCGUAACAAGGUAAC
rnacentral:rRNA from 1 species